rnacentral:ribozyme from 13 species
AUUUCUUGUUUCUUAUUCUCUUCUUUAUUUGCUUUUGCUCCUUUUUUAUCCCUUGGAUUAAUUGCAGAAGAAGAAGAAGAAGGAAGUUUUGGAGAAGGAGCAG